CGUAGCCGCGAGCCUGCAGCCGCUCGUGCACCCACGCCCGCACCCACGCGAGCGAAGAGGAUAGCGUUUCACUCCCGGUCGAUUCACACCCGCAGUCGCGCCGCUCUCCUCACCCCUCUCAUCUCUCCUGCGAACAGAUCUCGCCGCCCCGUCGCCUCGCGAGUACGUCGCCGGCGCGCAUCCUCACCGCGCAGAGGUUGAACCCUCCUCCUCCCAUCCCUCUUCCAUCUCUCCCCAUCCCCCUCGGACCCCUCUCACCUCUCUCUGCCCUUGCGCUGCUGCUCCUCCGAUGCGGAUGUGAGCCGGCAGUCGAAGCCGAGCUCCCGGCCAUGGCCGCCGUGGCCAUUGGAGCUGCUCCCCUCGCUCCUGUGUAGAGCUGCGAGCACCACUGCCCCACACGCACACUCAUGCCCACAGCCGCCAUGCACAUGCACAUGCUCUGUCCUGAACCUCCUUCCCUCCUAUGGAUAUGUGUGAUUGGCAUGCAUCUAUGUGAGUUAUUGGGCUAGUAAUUUUUGUGAUUGUCAUGGAUCUGUGCGAUCUGUUCCCAAGAGUUUGCUAAUUUCUGCAUAUAUUUUAUUAUGUUUUGACAAUGCAAAUGAUGUCAAUAUUAUCAGUGCUCAUGGCUUUAUUAAUUUAUAAAUCUGUGCUGAAUUUAUAUAGAUAGACGACAAUGGCAAGACCCGAGAUACACUGAAGCUUGUGGCUCUAAAAUUGUUGUUGACGGGGGGUCUAGGUUUAUAAAUCAGUGAUGCAUUAAUAUAGAUGAAUGACAUCGGCAAGACCCGAGAUACGCUGAAGCUUCAAGGUUUACAAUGGAUUUUUGGCUAUCUAAUAUGUGAACUCUAGUAUGUGUUGGACUGUAAGAUGGACCAUAUGGAUUUGUGGCUCCAUAAUAUGUGAACUCUUAAGAUGUACUUGGACUGGAUACUUGAUUUAUCUGCACUCUCUAUUAUCCUGAUGCAUUUCUCUAGCUAAUUUGUACCAUAAACUGCUUAUGUGUAUAAAAAUUGUUGAUAUACUUAUAAAAACAACCAAGAUGCUGCUGAAA
rnacentral:lncRNA from 1 species